GAAGGUGUGUGUUGCCCGCUCAGCCGUCUACCUUGUCCCGGCAGGAGCGUUAUGGCGUCACUGUGGAAACGUAUUGCGUGGUGGAGGUGCAACAUGCUCGCCUCCCUCAGUUUUUCUUGGCGAUGAAAGGGAGCUGGUGCGGCUUCUCCGAGAUGAGUGUUUCCUGACGCGCGUCUACUCCUGUAUGAACACGGGCGGCGUAAUGCUGACGGAUAACCUUCAUGGUGCACACCGGGGUGAAGCGGAGACAUUGUGGGAGUCGAUUGAACAGUUUGUUUGCCAUAUGUACCUGAGUGAGAGGAUGCUUCAGAAAAGUCACCAUAAAUUUUUCAGUAAGUUUAUGGGAGCACAGGGAGAGGAAAGACUGUGAGAAGAGAGAGUAUAACUUUGCAUCACAUAAAGAGGGGCGGAAGUUCUCGUUGAAAUAUUCCGGUAAAGAACGAUUCUUUUGAAGUGGUGGAAUAAUUUAAUGAUAUGCGCUCCUCUGUUUUCUAAGAAAAUAAAAGCACGCUGCAGGUGUAUCUUUUUAUUUCGCCUGGAUCUUGACUUGCUUCUCUAAUUACCACCACACAAAAAUAAGUCAGCUAUAAAAAGAUUUAGGUCGGAAAGCUGGGGAGGAAAGUGCGUAGAGGAAAGCAACCAAUAAGCAACAAGUAAUUUUUCUACUUUAAGGUUAAGUAAUCUUUUAUGCUUGGAAGGAAUUUCCAAGAAUAUAGUUUGGUGCCGAUCCUUGUAUGUGGGGGGGGCAUAAAACCAAACAAGUAAGAAACCAUAAGAAAGAGGAAGAAAGUAAUGAAAGUAAACACACUAAGGAAGGGUAAUUUAAUGUGUGGAUGUAAGGGUGUUGAAAAGCAGGUCAGGCAGAUAGAGGAAGAAAGUGCCGGAUGAGGAAGGAGUGUGGAGCUGACUGAAAUAAAUGAGAGGAAAGAUGGAAAGUUACGUUGAUGAAGUUUGUGGGUCAGAAAAGAGGUAAUGCAUGCCAGACAGGUCAGGCAAAUAUAAGAAGAGUUUGGUGGUUGUAAUUAAUGUGUAAAAGAAGAAAUAAUGGAGAAAGAAGGGAGAAAGGUACGGCGAUGUAGUUUGUGGAGGGUCUAGAAGAGACGGGCCGAAAAAUGCGAUGAGAAAGGGCGAGGGUGGUGCGCAGAAAGCAUGUCAUGUGAAUAGAUAAACAGCGAGCUGGCCGGUGGAGGUGUGCUGAAGGAAGGGACACGGUGAGGGCGGUGGUAUGAAAGCGAUAUGUGAAUUAUGUUAGCAGGAAAAAAGAAAAAAAACAGCACGAUUGUCUCUGUUCACACCUUGUUUUUGUGUUUCAUUACCCGGUCUUUGCCUCUACUGCCUUGUCUCUCCUAGCAACUCUUCCCUUUUCAUCCUCCUCCUUUUCUUCUUGAGGCAGUUGACGCAGAUGAUAGUGAUGAGGACAAUGAAAAUGAUGAUGUUGGUUUUGAGAUUGUUCUUCUAGUUGUUAUUGUGGUUUCUCGUAUUCAAUUUUGUUG